CACGUAGGUACCGAGCGUUAUCCGGAUUUACUGGGCGUAAAGCGCGUUCAGGCGGCUUGACAAGUCGGGCAUGAAAUCCUUCGGCUCAACCGGGGGAGGUUGUCCGAUACUGUCGGGCUGGAGGGCAGUAGAGGGUGGUGGAAUUCCGGGUGUAGUGGUGAAAUGCGUAGAGAUCCGGAGGAACACCAGUGGCGAAAGCGGCCACCUGGACUGUACCUGACGCUAAAACGCGAAAGCUAGGGGAG
rnacentral:rRNA from 1 species